GAAUGUGAGGUUGAUCUGGCUGUGAUUGCUAGGGUUGAUUUCUGCUGAUCUGGCUGGCUAGGUGGGUGUCCCCUUCCUCUUUUAAGGCUCCAUGUGCAUCCCUCUCAAAGCUGCACACUCCGUGGAAGAGGACAACCUUCUCCAAAUAGAGAUGGACCAGUCUUAAGUCGAGGGUAUAUGAGUAGCUGGGCUCCCCUGCUAGAACCUCCAAACAAGCUCUCAAAAUAAUAUAUAGUUUUUCUCUCUCAUUAAUAAAUAAAUUCAUAAAUAAAUAUUUUUU
rnacentral:snRNA from 1 species